rnacentral:tRNA from 1 species
UCCCUGAUGGUUCAGUGGUUAAGACUCUGCACUCCCAAUGCAGGGAGCUGGGGGUUUGAUCCCUGGUCAGGGAA